AGCAGGUGGAGAGAGCAGGAGUCAUCAACACUCUCACACAGCGCCUACAGGAGAGCCAGCAGCAGUGUGCCAAACUGCUACAGACCGGUUCAGUCCAGGAGAUGGGCCAGCUGCAAAUGAAACUACAACAGACUCAGUCAGCCAAGACCAUGAGUGACAACAUGAACAAAGCCUUGCAGGAGGAGUUGUCUGAGUUGAAGGAGCAGAUCUGUCUGUAUGAGUCUGUUGUGAAACACGGAGUCCUCUCUGCCGAGGUGACCGGAGGAGACAUCUGGGAGAACCAGCUGUCUGACUCCUAUGUAGACCUGGGGAUCAA